GACCCUUCUCAGGUGCAGCCAGAGAGACACUAGCCCACUGAUGGACGGACAGACGUGGGCAGGGUCCGUGUCACUAAACCACCCACCACUGCCACAGCUGCCUACAACAGACACAUCAGAUGACACUCCGGGCAUAUAAAUGAUUUUCACUGAGGACUUACUGGUUUUAAUAAUAGGUCCUGGUGUAGAGAAGUCCCUCAACCUAUUGUGCAAUGAGUUUUGAGAAGCGGAGAGGUGCCCAGUGAAUGCAGGUUCCAGACAAAAGGUGGAGCCUGGCAUCCUGCCCUGCAUGGGCUCCAGCCUGCUGCCAUCUGGGGAAACUGAGUCAUGGCGAGGCUCAAGGAUGUUUCUCAGACCACACCAGUCCCUGAAGGUCCGCUGACCUCCCAAUCUUGACGGACAGUGAGAAGAGGUUCCCAGGCCACCUGCAAUAGGUUCUGGCUCGGCCUGGGUUGGGCCCCGCAGCGCCUCCACCCCAGAGACCCGGACCAAGUUCACACAGGACAAUCUGUGCCACGCCCAGCGCGAGCGCCUGGACUCGGCCAACCUGUGGGUGCUGGUGGACUGCAUCCUUCGCGACACCUCCGAGGACCUGGGACUCCAGUGUGACGCCGUGAACCUGGCCUUCGGGCGCCGCUGUGAGGAACUGGAGGACGCGCGGCACAAGCUGCAGCACCACCUGCACAAGAUGCUGCGGGAAAUCACAGAUCAGGAACACAACGUGGUGGCACUGAAGGAGGCCAUCAAGGACAAGGAGGAACCUCUGCACAUAGCCCAGACCCGGCUGUAGUUGCUCUCACACCGGCCCAACAUGCAGCUGUGCCGCGAUGCAGCCCAGUUCAGGUACUGCCUGGGCCUCUGAGGCAGUCCCAGGUGCCCCCAUCCACCUCCUCGCUGCGACCCUCUCCAAUAAACACUCCAAUCUCCACACACACAUCCCCCACAGGUGCUGAGAGGGGAGGGAGACUCUGCGGCCACACACAACAUGCAAGCACGCCUUAAACACACAGAUAUAGACAUGACACUGGGCAGGUCAUGGGUCGGGGGCCUCCCCGUGCCAGGGACCUGUGCCCACGUGGUCUCACCCCACCCUGUGCUACCUCAUCUUCCCGGGAGGAAGCUCCUUCAGACAAGGUGAGCUCCUGGAGGCCACGGGGCCAGAGAGGCCAGAGAGGGCCAUUCCCUGCUGCCCUGAGGGUGCUGUCCCCACCUCUGGUGGAAAGUAUGACCUACGCCUGGGCUACAGGCAUAGAUGGGCCGUCCUUUUGUUUCCCUUGUUAACGGAUGCCUGGUGGCCCCUUCUGAGCCUAAGUACCUUUCUUCCUUCCCUGCCCCUCAGUUCCUUCAAGGAACUGGGUGCCUCCUUCCGUCAAAUAUCAGGAAUGGAAAGAACUGAGCCUGGUCGGCUGAGGCCAGUCCUGUCCUGUCAGGGUCGAGAUUGCACGCGGGUCACUCAUUCCCACUCAGGCCCGCGCUCCCUGGGAGGACCCUCGUAAUUUAUGCUCUGCCCUAGAGCCGCUUUCCUGGUAGGAUCCUUUCAUGGCGUCUUCCCAGGACCUCCUGCCAGCUCCCAUUGGGAGUUUUGGGUCCCCUCCACCCCAGUAGGUGCAUACUUCUGCCCUCCCCAGCCCCAGCUCACACCCCCCAACACCCCCAAGCUGGUGAGUGAGGUGGAGGAGCUGUACAAGUCCAUCACAGCGCUGCGGGAGAAGCUUCUACAAGCGGAGCAGUCCCUGCGCAACCUCAAGGACAUCCACAUGAGCCUGGAGAAGGACGUCACUGCCAUGACCAACAGUCUCUUCAUCGACCGCCAGAAGUGCAUGGCCCAUCGUACUUGCUACCCCACCAUUCUGCAGCUGGCUGGCUACCAGUGAGCAGCGGCACGGUGCUUCCCCCCAAUCCCCC
rnacentral:lncRNA from 1 species